GCUGGUACGGGCAGAGAGAAACUCUGACCUUGGCUUUUUUAUUUUUUAUUUUAUUUAUUUAUUUUUUUUUUUAUUCUAAAUGAGUCAAGGAAAUAACUAAAAUUUAGACGGGGACCAACAACUUGAAGGCCCUUUCUUGUAGCUCUCAUAUUAGCCGCGAUCCAUUUCCGGACAGGAUUUAAUAUACGCGAGGCUAUUCGGGUCCAGCCUCUGCUUCAGUGUGACGCAUAUACACUCGAUUGCAUAUUCACGUUUGGUGGGAAAAACUAGACUUGAGCAGCGCACAAGGUUUUUUCCCCGCUCCAUUCGUAGAGCAGCAAUUUUCCUAACUGAUGUCGGUACAAAAAGGGUUACCUGACAGACAGCUGGAGGCGUUUCAAAUUCCCCGCCAAUACGAAACUUCCAAAGAACAUCCAAGAGACGGCAAAAAGAAAGAAAAAAACUUUCACGCGUGACUGUGCACAUAGCCUAUAAAUAUAAAUACGAUAGGGCCCUUUUUUUUUUUUCAAUUUCAGCCUUCAAACGUUGUUGCUUUCUCAUCGGCUGGCAGGCAAUACCGGUUCCCUUUCGGCCACCGGCUCGCACUGGUCCCGAUCAAACGGCUAAAAGGUGAGGCACCUGCGCUCUUUUGUGUGUGUGUGUUGUAAUUUGAAUGAAUACGAUCAAGCGCCUUCUCAAGGUGACAAUUGAAUUGCGCGACUAUUGAAGUUAUAUCCUAUACCAUGUGCACACAUAUCCUUGGAUUUGAUGUCGUUCUAAACAAUCGGUUUCGCUUGAUAGGUUUACGUACAUUUAGAUACGGCAAACAGUUCAGCUCGUGUAGUAUGCAUCUGCGAUUAUACAGGGUGACAUUUACGUUCCGCAACGAGCGUUAAUAUAAUAAGCAUCGCAAAUAAUAAUGAACACAGGACGAAAGGGAAAGUCCUUUUUCUUUUCUGAAAGUGUGACUGGUUUUUUGCCACCUAUCGUGAAGAAUGACACAAUUCGCCGAUCGUAAAAGAAGUAAAUCGAUUUACAGUCACGUUAUUACAUGAAUCCCGCAUGGGUUUUUUCUUAUUGCCAUCGGUGAGUGAAUGACUUGCAGAAAAAGAGCUCCGGGCUAGUAGUAGCUGUUGGGAACAUGUUGGUAUUGACUAAUGAAGGCACACCAAAAAAUCGAUGAUCAAUUCAUUUUGUAUAUACGUUAGCAAAGUGUCUCUGGAGCCGUGUCGACGUCCUCCCUAUAUAGUUGACAUUGAGGAUGUUAUAUUUUGUAUACGUGAAGUGUUUGUUCGAUACUUUCUUUGCAUUGUCCGGCUAAUACAACACGCAUAUCAGGAGCGAAGACGUGCUGUGGAAUCCAAUGAUGAAAAUCAGCCGAUAAAAUUCGAAUGUUGAGCUAACGAUGACUCAGAUUGUUGAGGCGUUCGUCAAAUUGAAAUGGCAACAAAAAGAACUGCCGUCCUUGGCCUAAAAAUCACAAGAGACUUCCUUGUAUCGCGUGAUGUAGAUAUGUACAGCUGUUUAAAAAAAAAAUUAACUUCAAGCAACUAAAUGGAUUGUUUUGUUUUUGAAAUUGAAGGCAAGACGUUUGUACGCUCUUAACACAAAUAACUUUGAAUUUCAAUUGCAUCCGUGUAACACACAAAAGGGCCAACGACACCUGGUACCGCCCGGUACCGCGGGUUCCGAUCCCCGUACACCGUGCUGUUGAUAAUAACGAUGUAUUUUUUAAAAAAAAAGGAAAAAAGAAAGAGUCAGGUAAACUAGUUCUUACGACUUUCUACCGGCUGGCUACAAGCUUGCGACACCUACCGAGUUUUUCCCAAAAGAUGAAACUGCCUCCUUUCGAAACGCAUCCUUACUGCAGGUGCCGCGUUACAUAAUAAUGGCAAGGAAUCAUUGUAGAUUGGUGACAAUACACGAUACUUACGUUUUAGUUUGGCGUAAUGUUAUUGCCCUAAAAUAUUGACUUGUCGUCAUAGAAUGCAGGUGUUGCGUCAAGCAGCAUAAGCAGGUCUCAACGCACACCGUGACUCGACAUAAAGAUAACAUCGACCACGUCAAUAAACGACUGUCUCCGACACGAGGUAUGGACUCAAUCUUAUUUUUAGUUUGAUUUAAGAAAAGAUAAAGUUUGAUUUGAAAACGAACAUUAUCUUUCACUACUCAUCGUCGUGACCUAAAUUUAUGAUCUGAUCAAAAAGAUUUAAAUUCAGUUUUGAAACGAAAUUUUUAUAUUUUGAAUUGUGUCCAACUGGCUGUUUAAUUCUUUACUGCAUUCUAAGCCAUGCACCAAGAGCAAAAUAACACCCAAAUUUAAGCGACGGUGACCAGGGAGGCUGGAGUGGCGACCCAGAAAGUGGCAACUUCUUCUACGUAGGUAGUCCUG